rnacentral:lncRNA from 1 species
AUACGGGGUUCGCCAUCCCGAGAGGGGAGAACAGACUGUGAAACCGGCAGGACCGGCCUCCCCACGGUUAGCUCCGAGUCUCCCGCAGCUUGGCCCUCAGUCCCCUGUGGCUGCAAGAUGGCCGCUGGGCCAGCAGCGAGGACCCCCACGUCCCGUCCGGCCCAUCCGGUCCUGUCCCUGGGCAGCGCCCUGCUCUGCGCCCACAGCCAUGAGUAUUUCCCAAAUUGUUCAGGGAGGCCAGAUGGGUCAUCAGGGAAAAACCGCGAGUGGGUGUUUGCGUGGGAGGAGCUGCGGCCCGUGGGGUCCACAGUCUCUCGUGUUAAAAAUUAACGGGAGUCUAUGUUAAAAGGUUCAUCAGUUUAUCUGAACAAAGAGUGAUUGGUGAAAUGGAAAGCACCCAGCCAUGAUUUCUGGUCCACCAGAGGGGCAUAAAGGAAAGGCUUUCAUAAGAUGCAUGAGAAAGCAACCCAAAUUCAAGAAUUGGUUCCAGUUAUAUGGUAGCCUUAUUUGAACUAUCCAGAUGGAAAUGUCCUGGUUACAUAUUCAGAGGUUAAUUGCAUGUUUGUCAUGGGUUAAACCUGCAUUUUGCUUCAGGCUAAGAUAGUGUUUUAUAGGAAAUAUAUUUGAGUUAGGUUUUAGAUUUUUUUUUGUUUGUUUUUUGUUUUUUACCUAUGAACACAGGGCACUAGAGCCACUUUAGACUAAUUUUCUGAUCUUUAAUUAUUUUAACACUCCAGAGGAGGACUGGUUUUCUCCUGUGUUUUUUUAAUGUAUGGCAAGUGGAACCUCUAAUCGACCACCCUGUUUUUCAUCCUAACUCAGGCUUGCAGUAAAAUUAUCAGUUCCCACUUUCUUUGCUGCAUUCUCAAACGCAACACAUGAGACCAGCUUUCCCUUGCCAAUUUACAAUGCUGUUAACUAUAUGUCCUUUAUUAUACAUUUCGUUAAAGUUUUCUAUUAUUGGGUUUCUUUCUACUUCUCCCUACAGUUCUGGCAAUAUUUGCUUUUUAUAUUUAGAAGCCUCCCUUUUGGGUGCAUAAAUAUAUAAAGCUAUAUUCUCUUGAGAAAUUAACCUCUAUUAUUGUAUGGUAAACUCAUUUCAUUCUUGUGAGAGACAUUGCUAGAAAGUCUAUUUUGUCUAAUUUAAGCAUUACCAUUUCACUCCUUUGGUUAUUAUUUGCAUGGAAUAUCAUUUUCUAUCCUUUCACUUUUAGCCUAUGCUCUUAAUUCAUAAUUGAGUCUCUUGUAAGCAGCAUAUUAUGAGGUUUAAAAGAUUAAUUUAUCCACUCUGUCUGCUUUAGUCUCUUUUGGCUGCUAUAACAGAAUAUCACACACUGGUAAUUAAUAAAGAAUAGAAUUUUAUUUGACUCAUGAUUCUGGAGGCUGGGAAGCCAAAACAACAUUAUACUGGUAUAUGUUGAAGGUCUAGUUGCUGGAUAAUAACAUACACAAAGAUGUGAGGGAGAGAGAGCUUUUUUUUUUAAAUAUAUAACAGAUCCAUUCUUGUUAUAAUUAGCCCAUUCCCAUAAUAAGAACGUUAAUCCAUUCAUGAGGGCAGAGUGCUUAUAGCUUAAUUAAUUUUUAAAGGUUCCACCUGUUAAUUCUAACAUGUUGGCUAUUAAAUUUUAUCCUAAAUUUUGGAGAUGACAUUCAGUGUACAGCAGUAUCUGUUUAGUAGAUACUUUAAUCUUUUUAUUUGUAAGGUAGUGAUAGGUAAGCAGUUACUAUUGUACAUUUGUAGUUUUCUGUCCAUUUUAAGUUUGCUUCUUUUUUUUCUGGUUCUGUCUUUCCUGUGGUAUUGUUCAUUUUUGUUGAGACAAAGUUAUGCUUUCUUGCUCAGACUGAAGUGCAGUGGCAUAUCACAGCUCACUGUAGCCUUAACCUCCUGGGCUCAAAUAAUCGUCCCACCUUAGCCACCCAAGUAGCUUGGACUGCAGACAUGUACCACAACACCCAAGGAGAUUUGAUUCUUCCACCUUGGCCUCCCAAAGUGUUGGAAUUAUAAGCAGGAGACACCAUAUCCAAUGUGUAAUUUUUGUUGUUUGUGUAUGCUUUAAUUACUUUCUCUUUUUCUUUACUAUUUUUUUUUCCUACUGGUUAUCAUGAGACUUAUGUAAAACAUCUUGUAUUUUAAUAGUCUAGUUUAAGAUGAUAACAAUUUAUAGUAUUCUGAAAUUCAGUAUGUAUUUACCAUUUUAGUGACAUUUAUACUUUAGUAUUUUUCAUAUUGUUAGUUAGCAUUUCAUCAUAUCAAUGUGAAGAUUUCUUCCAGACCAUGGCUGGAGAAGGAAAGAAGGUGUGUUUUGCCUGAUUCAGGGACUAUAGAGAGAACCAAGUUCUGCAGGCCUGUCAUCUAAGUCUCAGGGCGGGGAGACCUUCCUUCCCCACGGGUUUGAGGCUAUGGCUAAGUGGUGAGCCUUGGUGAGACGCAGAAAGGAUCCAUCCCAGGCACUUGGCUAGAGCUUUUGCAUAUGCAGAAGAAGAAUUGGAUGAAAUUCAGCCUUCAUUAUGAUGAAAACUCUCAACAAGUUAGGAAUAGAAGGUAUGUGCCUUAAUACAGUAAAGGCCAUUUAUGAAAAAGCAAUGCUAACUUUAUACUGAAUAAGGAAAAGUUGAAAGCUUUCUCUCUGAGAUCUGGAACAAGACAAAUCAUCCAAACUUUCAGCCCUCUUAUUCAACAUAGUACUGGAAGUCCUAGCCAAGGAAAUUAGGCAAGAGGAAGAAAUAAAAGUUAUACUAAUUGGAAAGGAUGAAGUCAAAUGGUCUCUCAUUGUGGACAAAAUAAUCUUAUAUGUGAAAAACUCUAAACACUACACCAAAAACUAUUAGAACUACUAAACAAAUUCUGUAACAUUGCAGAAAAUUAACACAG